AACGUAGGGGGCGAGCGUUGUCCGGAAUUACUGGGCGUAAAGCGCGUGUAGGUGGUUAGGUAAGUCCGAUGUGAAAUACCAGGGCUCAACUCUGGUGCUGCGUUGGAAACUGCCUGACUGGAGUGCGGUAGGGGAGACUGGAAUUCCUGGUGUAGCGGUGAAAUGCGUAGAUAUCAGGAAGAACACCUGUGGCGAAGGCGGGUCUCUGGGCCGCAACUGACACUGAGACGCGAAAGCGUGGGGAGCAAACAGG
rnacentral:rRNA from 1 species